ensembl:lncRNA ERICH2-DT ERICH2 divergent transcript
CAAAGUGCUGGGAUUACAGGCAUGACCCACUGUGCCCGGACCUGCUUGAAUUUUUAUGAUGAGCAUGUUGGCAGAUCACGACUGCCAGCUCCGUGACAGCAAGAACCUUGUAUGACUUUUUCAUGAUGGAUGUUCAUCUGUGCCAUCUGUAAAUAUUGAAUAAAUAUUUGUGGAAUACAUGAAUCUAAAAGUGAAUGGAAUGAUAAAGAGGGAAAGGGUCAUGACAUCUACUACAGCAUUUGGCACAGACCCAGACCUCCCUGCUCCAGAAGCAAGGGGGCAGCCACAGCCCCACAGCCUCUAGCUGCUGGCUGCUCAGGGCACGCAGGCUUGCUAUUGACAAGUCUGAAUCAUGACUGAUGAAGGGAGUGCUCUCUCCCUAGAAAACAACUUGGCAACUUUCUACUUCAAACCCAGGCUCACUACAGAAUUUCUUACCACAAUGACUUUCUUGGCAGCUGUCUGCAGUACUAUCAAGAGAUGACAUGGACUUCAAGGAUCAAACAGGGGAGAAAAAGGCUUAAAAGAAAAACAAGUCUCCAUCAAAGGUAAUAACCACAAUGAGAACUAUACAUAGCUAUGUGCUUAUAGGUCUUAGUUCACAUUCCCCUCAUUAAAAUUAUAGCUCAAGAAAUAAAGGGCUGUUUAAUGACUUGGGUAUAUAAAUAUACUUCAUUUGUAUAUUUUUUACUUGCUAAAAUCUAUCCAAAUUGGUAUUACCUCAAACCAUAAUCUUCUACUGUAUUUUAUAAUUUUACUUUAUUGCCAUGUAUUUUUCCCACUGAUGUUCACAAAUUCACAGGAAACAUCAGCCAUGUACUAAAUAAAAUAUGAAUUGAAUCGACAAAUAGAACUAUAAAUUUAAUUCAAGCACAUGUAAAAUUUAGACCAAAGAAUAAAAA